rnacentral:rRNA from 2 species
GCGACCCCAGGAUGGGCGAGGCAACCCGCUGAGUUUAAGCAUAUCAAUAAGCGGAGGAG